UUUGUUGUAGUCUAGUUGGUUAGAAUAUUUUGGUCUCAUCCAAAAAGACUUGGGUUUGAGUCCCAGCGAUGGAA
rnacentral:tRNA from 1 species